rnacentral:rRNA from 1 species
GAUGAACGCUGGCGGCGUGCCUAAUACAUGCAAGUCGAGCGAACGGACGAGAAGCUUGCUUCUCUGAUGUUAGCGGCGGACGGGUGAGUAACACGUGGAUAACCUACCUAUAAGACUGGGAUAACUUCGGGAAACCGGAGCUAAUACCGGAUAAUAUUUUGAACCGCAUGGAUCAAAAGUUCAAGACGGUCUUGCUGUCACUUAUAGAUGGAUCCGCGCUGCAUUAGCUAGUUGGUAAGGUAACGGCUUACCAAGGCAACGAUGCAUAGCCGACCUGAGAGGGUGAUCGGCCACACUGGAACUGAGACACGGUCCAGACUCCUACGGGAGGCAGCAGUAGGGAAUCUUCCGCAAUGGGCGAAAGCCUGACGGAGCAACGCCGCGUGAGUGAUGAAGGUCUUCGGAUCGUAAAACUCUGUUAUUAGGGAAGAACAUAUGUGUAAGUAACUGUGAACGUCUUGACGGUACCUAAUCAGAAAGCCACGGCUAACUUCGUG